rnacentral:lncRNA from 1 species
AUAGAAGUACCGUAAUGAGUAAAUAUGUUUCAAAAGCUAAAUGUCUCUCAAGGUGUCCACCACAUCACUCUGAUCAUUUGGUUUUAAGAUAAAAAUCUAUAAGGACCAAGCCUCUACCUGCCUUUGCAACAUCAUUUUACUGUCUGCACCCUUUGUUAGUGUUCCUCAUCCUGGUGAACUGAAUGUUAUAUAUUGAAAUUCUGUGCCUCCUACAUAAAACUGAAAACUGAACCUACUUUAUUAUUUAAACAUUAACUGUUCCUCUCCUCCAUUAUGUACUCAACUAUUAUGGAACUCAAAAUCAUUAUUGUGCCACUGACAGCAUUAGUUUACUUUUUAAAUAUUUAUUUUUAAGCAUGUUUGGCUAUAUGCCAUGUGUGCCCAUGUGUGGCUCUGGCUGAGUGCAAGUAUCCUGGGAGUUUACAGGUGGUUCUCAGCUAGUGAUUGAACUUUGGCCCUCUACUAGAGCAGACAUGCUCUCAACUACUGAGCCAUCUCUCUAGCCUGGCAACAAUUUUUUGAUAGCAAUUUUUAUCCUGCUGGAAGAGAUUUUCUUGAACUGAAAACAAAUCUAAUCCUAAAUGUGUUUAUACUUAUGAAGAACCGUCUCUCAAUUUCUGAGUCAUUUUUGGGGAAAAUGUUAUUUGCUGUUGUAAGAAAUAUUAACUCUUUGAUUUCAAGUCUUACUCUGACAUGAUAUAGGUGAUAUAUCACAGCCAAGGCUGCUGCAGCUGUUUCAAAUGCUGUUAGUUUUGGGGACCUUCAACCCUUCUUCCACUGGUCACCUACUUUCUUUCACCUUGGUAAGAGCUCUCUAAACAUAGCUGAUAUCUGUGAUCUUAGCUAGGUGCUCCUGACUCAGCUCUAACAGGUUCAUUACAGAGUCCAGAUGCUCUUGUGCUACUCUGGGAAGAGCUUGCUGAUGGCAUCCUCCUGGGCUCUAGUGAAAGUCACAAUCUACUUCAGGCUGCUAAGAGGCCAGCCUCAAGCCCUGACAAAAGGAAUGACUCCCACCCCCUAAUGUGAAGCACUUGAACACUUUGGCUAAGGUAGUCCAGGGUGGCAGUAGGGCCAUGCUCAAGAUGAGGAAGAAGUAGGUACCCACCAUCAGCUCUUUCUAUGUCUUUCUUUGCCCUCUUCCAGGCAGGACUGGAAGUUCUGGAAGCAGUCACACUUCAGUGACAUUGGUGGAUGGCCUUGGGUUCAUCCACCAGAUCAGGCCCUUUCUAAGUGUGACAGUGAAUCUUUGUUCCUUUCUGAAGUGCCACAUUUUCUGGUUGGAAGAGUGAAAGGCUAGCAUUGAAGAUGCACUGAUGUGAUAUUGCAGAGUUGGAAGUUCAGCCCUCACCAUAUUUCAUAUCAAAUACCAACUAGCUGAGAAGAAGUUGGGUUUCUCUGUUGAUUUGGAGCCUGUCCUGGAACUUGCUCUGUAGACCAUGCUGGCCUUGAACUCACAGAGAAUUGCUGGACUCUGUCUCCCAAGUGCUGAGAUUAAAGGCAUGCGCCACCACCACCUGGCUUAUUUUAAUUCUCGAUUAGUAAGAGUAGAUUAAAAUAUUUUCAAAGCAAAAGUUUUAAAAGUCACUAUCAAAAAGUAACCUCAGCAUCAAGAGAACAUUUAUGUAAAAAGGAAAGAGUAAAAGACUUCCUGUGGAAAUAUCAACUAUGGUUUACAAUGAACAUAAAGAACUAUACAGUACUUGGCAGCAGAAUUGUCACAAG